UACGGGGGGAGCAAGCGUUGUUCGGAUUUACUGGGCGUAAAGGGCGCGUAGGCGGCCACCGCAAGUCGGUUGUGAAAUCUCUGGGCCUAACCCAGAAAGGUCAACCGAUACUGCGGGGCUAGAGUGCAGAAGGGGCAACUGGAAUUCUCGGUGUAGCGGUGAAAUGCGUAGAUAUCGAGAGGAACACCUGCGGCGAAGGCGGGUUGCUGGGCUGACACUGACGCUGAAGCGCGAAAGCUAGGGGAGCGAACGGG
rnacentral:rRNA from 1 species